rnacentral:rRNA from 1 species
UGAAUACGAGAUGCUACGGCGUCGAAGCAGUCUAUGUCAUACUUCCAAGAAAAGCUUGCACUGUCAUAAACAAAUAAUGCCUGUACCAUAACCGACACAGGUGGGUAGGUAGAGUAUACUAAGGGGCGCGAGAUAACUCUCUCUAAGGAACUCGGCAAAAUGACUCCGUAACUUCGGGAGAAGGAGUGCCUUAUUUAUAAGGUUGCAAUAACAAGAUCCAAGCAACUGUUUACCAAAAACACAGGUCUCCGCUAAGUCGUAAGACGAUGUAUGGGGGCUGACGCCUGCCCAGUGCCAGAAGGUUAAAGAAGUUGGUUAGCAUCCGCGAAGCUGAUAGCUGAAGCCCUGGUGAACGGCGGCCGUAACAAUAACGGUCCUAAGGUAGCGAAAUUCCUUGUCGGGUAAGUUCCGACCCGCACGAAAGGCGUAAUGAUUUGGAUACUGUCUCGGAGAGGGGCUCGGUGAAAUAGACUUGUCUGUGAAGAUGCGGACUACCUGCACCAGGACAGAAAGACCCUAUGAAGCUUUACUGUAACCUGAAAUUGAAAUUGGACUUUACUUGCGCAGUAUAGGUGGGAGGCGUUGAGAAUAUUCUUGCGGGAUUAUUGGAGGCAUCAGUGAGAUACCACUCUUGUAAUGUUAGAUUUCUAACUUUGUAUCAUUAUCUGGUCAAAGAACAGUUUCAGGCGGGCAGUUUGACUGGGGCGGUCGCCUCCUAAACGGUAACGGAGGCGCACAAAGGUUUCCUCUGAACGGGUAGAAAUCGUAUCUAGAGUGUAAAGGCAUAAGGAAGCUUGACUGUGAGACCUACAAGUCGAGCAGGGACGAAAGUCGGUCUUAGUGAUCUGACGGUGCUGAGUGGAAAGGCCGUCACUCAACGGAUAAAAGUUACUCUAGGAUAACAGGCUGAUCUCCCCCAAGAGUUCACAUCGACGGGGAGGUUUGGCACCUCGAUGUCGGCUCAUCGCAUCCUGGGGCGGUAGUACGUCCCAAGGGUUGGGCUGUUCGCCCAUGAAAGCGGUACGCGAGCUGGGUUCAGAACGUCGUGAGACAGUUCGGUCCAUAUCCGGUGUAGGCGUUAGAGUAUUGAGAGGAGCCUUCUUUAGUACGAGAGGACCGAGAAGGACAUACCUCUGGUGUACCAGUUAUCGUGCCAACGGUAAACGCUGGGUAGCUAUGUGUGGAGUGGAUAACCGCUGAAAGCAUCUAAGUGGGAAGCCCACCUCAAGAUAAGUAUUCC